rnacentral:rRNA from 1 species
UACGAAGGGGGCUAGCGUUGCUCGGAAUCACUGGGCGUAAAGCGCACGUAGGCGGCUUCUUAAGUCAGGGGUGAAAUCCUGGAGCUCAACUCCAGAACUGCCUUUGAUACUGAGGAGCUUGAGUCCGGGAGAGGUGAGUGGAACUGCGAGUGUAGAGGUGAAAUUCGUAGAUAUUCGCAAGAACACCAGUGGCGAAGGCGGCUCACUGGCCCGGUACUGACGCUGAGGUG